rnacentral:rRNA from 1 species
UCACAGCAGACCUUCUCCUAACCGGGAGGGCAGGCAGUUGGUGAAUAUUGCACCAAUUGGCGCAAGGCCUUGAUGGCAGGCCAUGGCGGUGUGUGAAGAAGGGCCUUCGGGUCGUAAAGCACUUUCAGCGGGGAGGGAAAGGCGAUAAGGUUUAAUAACCUUCGUCCGAUUUGACGUUACCCGCAGAAGAAGCACCGGCUAACUCCGUGCCAGCAGCCGCGGUAAUACGGAGGGUGCAAGCGUUUAUCGGAAUUACUGGGCGUAAAGCGCACGCAGGCGGUCUGUCAAGUCGGGAUGUGAAAUCCCCCGGGCUCAACCCUGGGAACUGCAUUCGAAACUGGCAGGCUAGAGUCUUGUAGAGGGGGGGUAGAAUUCCAGGUGUAGCGGUGAAAUGCGUAGAGAUCUGGAGGAAUACCGGUGGCGAAGGCGGCCCCCUGGACAAAGACUGACGCUCAGGUGCGAAAGCGUGGGGAGCAAACAGGAUUAGAUACCCUGGUAGUCCACGCCGUAAACGAUGUCGAUUUGGAGGUUGUGCCCUUGAGGCGUGGCUUCCGGAGCUAACGCGUUAAAUCGACCGCCUGGGGAGUACGGCCGCAAGGUUAAAACUCAAAUGAAUUGACGGGGGCCCGCACAAGCGGUGGAGCAUGUGGUUUAAUUCGAUGCAACGCGAAGAACCUUACCUGGUCUUGACAUCCACAGAACUUUCCAGAGAUGGAUUGGUGCCUUCGGGAACUGUGAGACAGGUGCUGCAUGGCUGUCGUCAGCUCGUGUUGUGAAAUGUUGGGUUAAGUCCCGCAACGAGCGCAACCCUUAUCCUUUGUUGCCAGCGGUUAGGCCGGGAACUCAAAGGAGACUGCCAGUGAUAAACUGGAGGAAGGUGGGGAUGACGUCAAGUCAUCAUGGCCCUUACGACCAGGGCUACACACGUGCUACAAUGGCAUAUACAAAGAGAAGCGACCUCGCGAGAGCAAGCGGACCUCAUAAAGUAUGUCGUAGUCCGGAUUGGAGUCUGCAACUCGACUCCAUGAAGUCGGAAUCGCUAGUAAUCGUAGAUCAGAAUGCUACGGUGAAUACGUUCCCGGGCCUUGUACACACCGCCCGUCACACCAUGGGAGUGGGUUGCAAAAGAAGUAGGUAGCUUAACCCUUUCCGGGACGGGCA